rnacentral:tRNA from 1 species
GCGGGCGUGGCUCAGUUGGUAGAGCGCCACCUUGCCAAGGUGGAGGUCGCCGGUUCGACCCCGGUCGCCCGCU